UACGUAGGCAGCAAGCGUUGUUCGGAGUUACUGGGCGUAAAGGGUGUGUAGGCGGUUCCUUAAGUUUGCUGUGAAAUCUCCCGGCUUAACCGGGAGGGUGCGGUGAAUACUGAGGGACUAGAGUACGGGAGAGGAAAGUGGAAUUCCUGGUGUAGCGGUGAAAUGCGUAGAUAUCGUAAGGAAGACCAGUGGCGAAGGCGGGUCUCUGGACAGUUCCUGACGCUGAGGCACGAAGGUCAGGGGAGCAAACGGG
rnacentral:rRNA from 1 species